rnacentral:rRNA from 1 species
UACGUAGGGUGCGAGCGUUGUCCGGAAUUAUUGGGCGUAAAGAGCUCGUAGGCGGUGUGUCACGUCGGCCGUGAAAACCUGCAGCUUAACUGUGGGCGUGCGGUCGAUACGGGCAUCACUGGAGUUCGGCAGGGGAGACUGGAAUUCCUGGUGUGAGCGGUGGAAUGCGCAGAUAUCAGGAGGAACACCGGUGGCGAAGGCGGGUCUCUGGGCCGGAUACUGU